rnacentral:rRNA from 1 species
GACGAACGCUGGCGGCGUGCUUAACACAUGCAAGUCGAACGGAAAGGCCCCUUUGGGGGUACUCGAGUGGCGAACGGGUGCGUAACACGUGAGUAACCUGCCCUUGACUUCGGGAUAACUUCAGGAAACUGGGGCUAAUACCGGAUAGGAAUCCUUGCUGCAUGGUGGGGGUUGGAAAGCUUCGGCGGUUUUGGAUGGACUCGCGGCUUAUCAGCUUGUUGGUGGGGUAGUGGCUUACCAAGGCUUUGACGGGUAGCCGGCCUGAGAGGGCGACCGGCCACAUUGGGACUGAGAUACGGCCCAGACUCCUACGGGAGGCAGCAGUGGGGAAUAUUGCACAAUGGGCGGAAGCCUGAUGCAGCAACGCCGCGUGCGGGAUGACGGCCUUCGGGUUGUAAACCGCUUUCAGCAGGGGCGAAGCUUGUGGUGACGGUACCUGCAGAAGAGGCACCGGCUAACUACGUG